rnacentral:rRNA from 1 species
GAUGAACGCUGGCGGAAUGCUUUACACAUGCAAGUCGAACGGCAGCACGGACUUCGGUCUGGUGGCGAGUGGCGAACGGGUGAGUAAUGUAUCGGAACGUGCCCAGUCGUGGGGGAUAACGUAGUGAAAAUUACGCUAAUACCGCAUACGAUCUAUGGAUGAAAGCGGGGGAUCGCAAGACCUCGCGCGAUUGGAGCGGCCGAUAUCAGAUUAGGUAGUUGGUGGGGUAAAGGCCCACCAAGCCAACGAUCUGUAGCUGGUCUGAGAGGACGACCAGCCACACUGGAACUGAGACACGGUCCAGACUCCUACGGGAGGCAGCAGUGGGGAAUUUUGGACAAUGGGCGAAAGCCUGAUCCAGCCAUUCCGCGUGCAGGAUGAAGGCCCUCGGGUUGUAAACUGCUUUUGUACAGAACGAAAAGGUUUCUACUAAUACUAGGAGCUCAUGACGGUACUGUAAGAAUAGGCACCGGCUAACUACGUGCCAGCAGCCGCCGCGG